rnacentral:lncRNA from 1 species
GAACAGAGCAUUUGUGUAAUGUCCAACCCGCUGUUGUUUCGGCUAUUGUCUAAAUUAAUUGCUCAUGAAUAUUGAUUAGUUUGAUGCGCAAGCAUUUCUUGCUGAUCUUGAACUACUUGAAAAUUUUGAUCAAAGGAUUAAUCAAUUAAUUUUCAUUUUAUUAAUUUUAUAUAUCGAUAAUUAUUGUGUUAUGAGUGUACCAUAGUUCUGAACAUUAGUGGUUGACAAGAACCCUACAAUUUUAUUGAUUUGGAUCGAUUGCAUCGUGAGUUAUUGAUUUGUUUACUGAGGCUGAGAGUGGUACAAAAUGUCGUAGCCGUAGGUCAAGCUGACCGAAGAUUCACGUUAAAUGUACAUAUCGUUUGGGAUGCAUUGACAUUCCGCAUUGGACAAUACAAAUACUAUACAUGGAAGUGUAAUACAUAUUUCUACUGUAUAUAUGAAUUUUAAGUUAGGAAAACUUUAGUUUUCUAAUCUUCUGGACAUGAGGCUGAUUAUCUAACAGCUUAGUCAUUUUUAGAACACUGGGAUUUCCUAAUCUCCUUUUCGAAAAUACAUAGAGGGCGC